CGACCCCAGGUCAGGCGGGGUUACCUGCUGAAUUUAAGCAUAUCAAUAAGCGGAGGA
rnacentral:rRNA from 1 species